rnacentral:rRNA from 1 species
GAUGAACGCUGGCGGCGUGCCUAAUACAUGCAAGUCGAGCGAACAGAUGGUAAGAUCUUCCUCUUACGGUUGGCGAGGGCCGGAGGGGUAAGCGUUGAAUACCCACCUAUUAGUUCGGGGGGAAUUACGGAAAGCGGCUUACAUUACGGCCGAAUACUUCCAACGGGUGGAUCCAUAGUGUAAGCCGGCUUUGCUGGAUCUUAUUAGCGGAUUCCGGGUCGGAUUAGCUGGUUGGUAAGGUAACGGCCUACCAAGGAAACGAUGCGUAGCCGACCUGAGAGGGUGAUCAGCCACACUGGAACUGAGACACGGUCCAGACUCCUACGGGAGGCAGCAGUAGGGAAUCUUCGGCAAUGGGCGAAAGCUUGACGGAGCAAUGCCGCGUGAGUGAAGAAGGUCUUCGGAUCGUAAAACCCUUUUAUUAGGGAAGAAAAACUGUGGAAGAAUCUCUGGACGUUUUGACGGUACCCAAUCAGAAAGCCACGGCUAACUACGUG